UACGAAGGGUGCAAGCGUUGUUCGGAUUUAUUGGGCGUAAAGCGCGCGCAGGCGGAUUGGCAAGUCAGAUGUGAAAUCUCGGGGCUCAACCCCGAAACUGCGUCUGAAACUACCGAUCUAGAAUUUCGGAGAGGGAGGGGGAAUUUCGCAUGUAGGGGUAAAAUCCGUAGAUAUGCGAAGGAACACCGGGGGCGAAGGCGCCCUCCUGGCCGAUGAUUGACGCUGAGGCGCGAAAGCGUGGGGAGCAAACAGG
rnacentral:rRNA from 1 species